AUUGAACGCUGGCGGCAGGCCUAACACAUGCAAGUCGAGCGAGCGGCGGACGGGUGAGUAAUGUCUGGGGACUGCCCGAUGGAGGGGGAUAACUACUGGAAACGGUGGCUAAUACCGCAUACUAUCGGAUAACCCAUAUGGGAUUAGCUAGUAGGUAAGGUAAUGGCUUACCUAGGCGACGAUCCCUAGCUGGUCUGAGAGGAUGAUCAGCCACACUGGAACUGAGACACGGUCCAGACUCCUACGGAGGCAGCAGUGGGGAAUAUUGCACAAUGGGCGCAAGCCUGAUGCAGCCAUGCCGCGUGUGUGAAGAAGGCCCUCGGGUUGUAAAGUACUUUCAGUCGGGAGGCGUUACCGACAGAAGAAGCACCGGCUAACUCCGUGCCAGCAGCCGCGGUAAUAC
rnacentral:rRNA from 1 species